rnacentral:lncRNA from 1 species
UUUAAAUGGUCCUCGUUCCAGGACCUCUUCCCGGGAAGGAGUCGCCGCGCCCGGAACUUAGUUCCGCGGGGCUGCCGUGCUACCGAUGGUCGGGUGCCUGCGUGGUCGUUAG